UCCCGGGGGAGGGAAGCCUGGCCAGCUGGGGAUCUACCCGGCCGUACCCUCGCACCCCAACUUCCACUCUCCCAGUGGGGGAGGCGAGAGGCAGAACCCCAGUUUUCCAGGCUUGGGGCCCGGCUUGCACCUCACUGGACCCAGCCUCAGCGGGCUCCUGGUUCCCCUACCCUCGCAUCUACAAAGGCGUUUUUUUUAGACUUCAGAAAUACACGGCCGUAAAUCUGAGCAAGUGAGCCGUCACCCCCACCCCCAAGUGGCCCAUCUGUCUUCCACGUCCCUUGGAGGACACAGGAAGACAAUACUGCAGUCUUUACCUCUUUGGGGACGGCAGGGAGCUUCCCUAGCAUAGGGACCACAUCAUUACUGCAGGUCGGGGUUCGGUGUACACAGUCUGCUUGAUUUCUGGGGCAUGGGGGCUAACCCAGGGCCGCGACCCCCGAGCCCAUCCCCCAGUGUAACCUGCUAUUCCGUUUGGAAAUUCUUCCAUUUUUCUUGAAAACGCACGGAGCCACUAACUACCGUUUUGUUUGGAGCCAAGCUCUCCACCCUCCACGGGGCUGCGAUUAGAGGUAUGCACACCAGCGGCUGAAAUCAUAACCUUCUUGAACUAAGGACUGAAAACCCGCGUGGUUGGUCCUGUGUAAGUACGAGGUCCCCGAACUACUGCCCCUCCCCAUCUCUCUCCUUAUUCCCCUUGAAGAUGGAGGAAUUCCGUACCCCAAUCCCUGCCCUGAGACUUAAGGCUCGUCUCUUGCAGAAAGGUUUGCAGUUUCCAAUCCCUGACUCCGGAUGGCCUUACUGUGUAGCCCUGGCUAACCUCAAGCUGGAGGUGACCCUCCCUGAACUUUGCUGGGGGAGGGGGUAUUAGGAGCCACCGUGGCUUUCCCCGAGAUUCUCGUUUCCUGAAAGAAGCCCAAGUCCAGACGACAAGGGCUCUGGUUCCCUAGGAUUUAAGACUUAGGGUCCCCUGGCCGGGCGUCCCUGCCCUGCCCUCCCCCAGCCUGUGUGAAGCUCAGGCAAGCUGGGGUUUGGCCGGCUGCCCAUUCCGCUUCGUAAAAGUGCCGGACUCCAGGAGAACACAAGCUGCCGUGUGGCCCUUGGAAACAGGGCUCUGCCUUCUGGGUAUCUGUUCACUCUGGGCCUCAGUUUCCCCCUGAGUCAUUGCAUACUAGCACGAUGACAGCGAGGACUCCACAUGACAUCUGGGAGAUUUAAUGACUCACCAGUUGCGCCUCUGGCACAGCUGUCUGGCGGCACGGCGCCUCCGGAGAGCAUCUUCACCCUUCUGUGAGAAGAUCCACGGCUCUGCUGUCACGUGGGGUUGGGUCUGCCCCUUGCUCUGCUGCUGUCUGACAGAGCACGGCCUCCACGGAACCCUGCCCUGCCCCUCCCAGUUCGUCUGGACGUCGGGGUGACUCCUCCUUUCUGGGUAAGGCAUGUGAUUGGCGAUGGAAAGCCCCCAGGAGCCUGGCAGUAGCCAGCUGGUGUCACGGCACCUCUGGGCCAUAGGUGAGCAGGGCUGUGCCCCCAGGGAGACUGGGUGGGAUUGGACACGGGAAGUCCCAGGCUGGGAAUCACGGGAUGCUCUCACAGAAGGUCCGUGCUUCUAGGAUUCACCUCAAAGGGGGGAGGGGAGGGCCCCGGGCCCCACCCUGGCUCACCUGACAGGACAAGGAGGUUCUGGGACUCGGUUGGUGGAGCGCUGGCCUAGCGCGCAAGAAUCCCUGGGUUCUGUCCUCAGAAGCGCACAAACCAGGCGUGGUGGAGCACGCCUUAAUCCCAGCGUUCAGCUUUGUGGAGGCAGCAGCAUCCGGGUCAUUCUUGGCUGCAGAGCCAGAAGUCGUCUCAGUGGAUAAAGGUCCAAAUGUGACCCACAUGUUUGCAGAGCCCUUGGAGGCUGGAAGCGGGUUCCAGAUCCCCUGGAACAGGAGUCGUGGGUGGUUGUGAGCGACCAUGUGGGUGCUGGGACUUGAACCUGGGUCCUCUCCAAGAGCAGCAAGCGCUCUCAACUGCCGAGCCAUCCUUCCAGUCCCAAGGAGCCCCCCUCAAAUUUGUGUUUUAAAUAAUAUUUGUUAUUUUUUUAGGGUCUGUAUGUGUCUGUGUGUGCUUGGAGCAAAUGUGGGGGUCAGAGGACGGCCCGUGGGGUCCACAGUUGUGAUUUAGGUUCUUGGGUUCGAAGGCAAGCAUCUCAUUGACCACUCAGAGCCCCCUUGGGGGACUUUACCGGAGGCAGAAACAGUUAUUUCCUAGUCGUCCGCCGCGUUUCCCUAGAAGUCCGAAGCCACUGUCUCCGCCUUCCCCACAGAGCCCCCAAAGCAAAGAAGCCGAAGUUCCCCCAGGCUUCUGGGAAACCGAGGUCACACGGAACUCUCCUCACUCGCACCUGAUGGGAAAAACACGCUCAGGGGCUCUGCUUCCUGAUGCUGGGCCGGCCGUGGGGUCUGUGCUGCCCUCCAACAUAGCUCUGUGGUCCUGCGACGCGGGGGGCUGAAUUACCUGGUUUCUGCGGAAUCAGUCAGCUCUCUGGUGGGCAUCAGCGGCCUCUCAGCCACACGGGCUGACUCAUCCCCGAGGCACCAGACCGGGCAGCGUUGGCGACAUCCACAAUGACUCUGCAGUGCGUGGCUUUAGGCUGACCCGGGAAGAAUGGAGAAGGUGGGACCUCAUGGGCUCGGUUACUGUCCCGCCUUGCAGGGGGUAGCGGCUGAUGGCUGGUAGCCUCCACUUUUGUACGUCACUCCAUCUUUCCUCAUCCCUUCCUCUCCUGUGUUCACAAGGGUAGCUUCCCGGAAAAAUGAAAUCUUUUUAUGUCUCGGA